GACGAACGCUGGCGGCGUGCUUAACACAUGCAAGUCGAACGGAAAGGCCUCAGCUUGCUGGGGUACUCGAGUGGCGAACGGGUGAGUAACACGUGGGUGAUCUGCCUUGCACUCUGGGAUAAGCUUGGGAAACUGGGUCUAAUACCGGAUAUGAACUGCCUUUAGUGUGGUGGUUGGACAGUUUUUUCGGUGCAAGAUGAGCUCGCGGCCUAUCAGCUUGUUGGUGGGGUAAUGGCCUACCAAGGCGUCGACGGGUAGCCGGCCUGAGAGGGUGUACGGCCACAUUGGGACUGAGAUACGGCCCAGACUCCUACGGGAGGCAGCAGUGGGGAAUAUUGCACAAUGGGCGGAAGCCUGAUGCAGCGACGCCGCGUGGGGGAUGACGGCCUUCGGGUUGUAAACUCCUUUCGACAGGGACGAAGCUUUUUGUGACGGUACCUGUAUAAGAAGCACCGGCUAACUACGUG
rnacentral:rRNA from 1 species